GGUUAAGUUAACAAGGGCGCAUGGUGAAUGCCUUGGCACUAGGAGCCGAUGAAGGACGGGACUAACACCGAUAUGCUUCGGGGAGCUGUACGUAAGCUAUGAUCCGGAGAUUUCCGAAUGGGGCAACCCAGCAGUUUUAAUCAACUGUUACCACUAGAUGAAUUCAUAGUCUAGUUGGAGGUAAACGCUGUGAACUGAAACAUCUCAUUAGCAGCAGGAAUAUAAAGAAAUUUCGAUUCCCUAAGUAGCGGCGAGCGAACGGGGAACAGCCCAAACCAAAGUGCUUGCACUUUGGGGUUGUAGGACUGAACAUUUGAGUUACCAAAGAACUUGAUAGUCGAAGGAUUUGGGAAAAUCCGCCAUAGAUGGUGAUAGCCCAGUAGAUUAAAUCAAAUUCUCUCAGUUCAGGAUCCUGAGUACGGCGGAACACGUGAAAUUCCGUCGGAAUCCGGGAGGACCAUCUCCCAAGGCUAAAUACUACCUAGUGACCGAUAGUGAACCAGUACCGUGAGGGAAAGGUGAAAAGCACCCCGGGAGGGGGAGUGAAAUAGUUCCUGAAACCAUGUGCCUACAAUAAGUCAGAGCGCGUUAAUGCGUGAUGGCGUGCCUUUUGUAGAAUGAACCGGCGAGUUAUGAUCCCGUGCAAGGUUAAGACUAAAAAGUCGGAGCCGUAGCGAAAGCGAGUCUGAAAUGGGCGAUUUGAGUACGAGGUUAUAGACCCGAAACCAGGUGACCUAUCCAUGUCCAGGUUGAAGGUGCGGUAAAACGCACUGGAGGACCGAACCCGUGUAAGUUGAAAAUUGCUGGGAUGAGGUGUGGAUAGCGGUGAAAUUCCAAACGAACUUGGAGAUAGCUGGUUCUCUCCGAAAUAGCUUUAGGGCUAGCCUCGGAUUAAGGAUCAUGGAGGUAGAGCACUAUUUGGACUAGGGGCCCGUCUUGGGUUACUGAAUUCAGAUAAACUCCGAAUGCCAUUGAUUCAUGUCCGGGAGUCAGACGAUGAGUGAUAAGAUCCACCGUCGAAAGGGGGAACAGCCCAGACCAUCAGUUAAGGUCCCUAAAUGUAUGCUAAGUGGAAAAGGAUGUGGAGUUGCAUAGACAACUAGGAUGUUGGCUCAGAAGCAGCCACCAUUUAAAGAGUGCGUAAUAGCUCACUAGUCGAGUGAUCCUGCGCCGAAAAUGUACCGGGGCUAAGCAUACUACCGAAACCAUGGAUGCGACCAUUAGGUCGCGUGAUAGGAGAGCGUUCUAAGGGCGGUGAAGCAAGAUCGUGAGGACUUGUGGAGCGCUUAGAAGUGAGAAUGCCGGUAUGAGUAGCGAAAGAUAGGUGAGAAUCCUAUCCACCGAAUGACUAAGGUUUCCUGGGGAAGGCUCGUCCUCCCAGGGUUAGUCGGGACCUAAGUCGAGGCCGAGAGGCGUAGACGAUGGAUAACAGGUUGAGAUUCCUGUACUAGUUAAGUGCGUUUGAGCAAUGGAGGGACGCAGGAGGCUAAGAUGUGCAUUCUGUUGGAUUAGAAUGUCCAAGCAGUAAGUCUUGUGGAGAGUCAAAUGCUUUUCACUUUAAGGACAAGCUGUGAUGGAGAGCGAAAUUUAGUAGCGAAGCGUCUGAUGUCACACUGCCGAGAAAAGCUUCUAGUGAGUACUUAACUACCCGUACCGCAAACCGACACAGGUAGUCGAGGAGAGAAUCCUAAGGUGAGCGAGUGAACUCUCGUUAAGGAACUCGGCAAAAUGACCCCGUAACUUCGGGAGAAGGGGUGCUGAUCGCAAGAUCAGCCGCAGUGAAUAGGCCCAGGCGACUGUUUAUCAAAAACACAGGUCUCUGCAAAAUCGUAAGAUGACGUAUAGGGGCUGACGCCUGCCCGGUGCUGGAAGGUUAAAAGGAUGGGUUAGCUUCGGCGAAGCUCAGAAUUGAAGCCCCAGUAAACGGCGGCCGUAACUAUAACGGUCCUAAGGUAGCGAAAUUCCUUGUCGGGUAAGUUCCGACCCGCACGAAAGGCGUAACGAUCUGGGCACUGUCUCAACGAGAGACUCGGUGAAAUUAUAUUGUCCGUGAAGAUGCGGACUACCCGCGACAGGACGGAAAGACCCCAUGGAGCUUUACUGUAGCUUGAUAUUGAGUGUUUGUACAGCUUGUACAGGAUAGGUAGGAGCCAUAGAAACCGGAACGCUAGUUUCGGUGGAGGCGUUGGUGGGAUACUACCCUCGCUGUAUGACCACUCUAACCCGCACCACUAAUCGUGGUGGGAGACAGUGUCAGGUGGGCAGUUUGACUGGGGCGGUCGCCUCCUAAAAAGUAACGGAGGCGCCCAAAGGUUCCCUCAGAAUGGUUGGAAAUCAUUCGCAGAGUGUAAAGGCACAAGGGAGCUUGACUGCGAGACAGACAGGUCGAGCAGGGACGAAAGUCGGGCUUAGUGAUCCGGUGGUACCGUAUGGAAGGGCCAUCGCUCAACGGAUAAAAGCUACCCUGGGGAUAACAGGCUUAUCUCCCCCAAGAGUCCACAUCGACGGGGAGGUUUGGCACCUCGAUGUCGGCUCAUCGCAUCCUGGGGCUGUAGUCGGUCCCAAGGGUUGGGCUGUUCGCCCAUUAAAGCGGUACGCGAGCUGGGUUCAGAACGUCGUGAGACAGUUCGGUCCCUAUCCGUCGCGGGCGUAGGAAAUUUGAGAGGACCUGUCCUUAGUACGAGAGGACCGGGAUGGACAUACCUCUGGUGUACCAGUUGUGCCGCCAGGCGCAUCGCUGGGUAGCUACGUAUGGAUGUGAUAAACGCUGAAAGCAUCUAAGUGUGAAACACACCUCGAGAUGAGAUUUCCCAUUCCUUUAUGGAAGUAAGACCCCUGAAAGAUGAUCAGGUAGAUAGGUUAGAAGUGGCAGUGCGGUGACGCAUGAAGCGGACUAAUACUAAUCGGUCGAGGACUUAACCAA
rnacentral:rRNA from 1 species